UACGUAGGGUGCAAGCGUUAAUCGGAAUUACUGGGCGUAAAGCGUGCGCAGGCGGUUGUGCAAGACAGAGGUGAAAUCCCCGGGCUCAACCUGGGAACUGCCUUUGUGACUGUACGGCUAGAGUGUGUCAGAGGGGGGUAGAAUUCCACGUGUAGCAGUGAAAUGCGUAGAGAUGUGGAGGAAUACCGAUGGCGAAGGCAGCCCCCUGGGAUAACACUGACGCUCAUGCACGAAAGCGUGGGGAGCAAACAGG
rnacentral:rRNA from 1 species